rnacentral:rRNA from 1 species
CCUACGGGAGGCAGCAGUGGGGAAUAUUGCACAAUGGGGGAAACCCUGAUGCAGCGACGCCGCGUGAGUGAAGAAGUAUUUCUGUAUGUAAAGCUCUAUCAGCAGUGAAGAAAAUGACGGUACCUGAUUAAGAAGCCCCGGCUAACUACGUGCCAGCACCCGCGGUAAUACGUAGGAGGGAAGCGUUAUCCGGAUUUCCUGGGGCAAAAGGGAGCGUAGACGGCAGCACAAGUCUGGAAUGAAAUGCAGGGGGUUAACCCGGAACUGCUUUGGAAGUUGUGCAGCUAGAGUGCAGGAGAGGUAAGUGGAAUUCCUAGUGUAGCGGUGAAAUGCGGAGAUAUUAGGAGGAACACCAGGGGCGAAGGCGGCUUACUGGACUGUAACUGACGUUGAGGCUCGAAAGCGUGGGGAGCAAACAGGAUUAGAUACCCCAGUAGUC